GCCAGUGAAGUACAGUGGUUUGAGAGUUGGACUGGGACUCUGGAGACCAGGGUUCGAAUCCUUGCUUAGCCA
rnacentral:tRNA from 1 species